CUCUGAGGGCGCGGUGACCUGUGCACUGGGCAGGAGCUCCUCCCCGCCAGGCCCCAGGUCCAUGGAGAAGUUUCCUGGCUGCUGCUGCUGAGAAGGGGAGUCCUUCAGUCCAGCUACGGGCUCCACAUGCCCUCCUUGACCUAUUAGAGCAAAAUUCAUCUCUGGGAGCUCUGAGUGAGGGAAGUGUGGCAGGACAAAUUCUAAGACUGACUCCUGGUGUCUGUCCUGUGUAAUCCCUCCCCUGGAAUGUGGACUGACCUAUCUCGUGACAGGCCAUCGCUGCCCUAAUCCCGUUACCUCAGGUGGAAAAAUAAAAAUAAAAAGAUUUCUCUGAUGUAAUUAAGGUCCCUAAUGGGUUGGUGUUGAACUGAUCCAAAGGGAGACUAUUCUGGACCUGACAUGACUAGAGGACCCUUUCAGAGGGACUGAGGACCUCCCUGACGUCAGAGAGGUUCUCUGCAGUGU